rnacentral:rRNA from 1 species
CGAAAGCCUGACGGAGCAAGACCGCGUGAGGGAGGAAGGCUCUUGGGUUGUAAACCUCUUUUCUCAGGGAAGAAGCUCUGACGGUACCUGAGGAAUCAGCCUCGGCUAACUCCGUGCCAGCAGCCGCGGUAAUACGGAGGAGGCAAGCGUUAUCCGGAAUCAUUGGGCGUAAAGCGUUCGUAGGCGGCUGUUCAAGUCUGCUGUCAAAGACCGAGGCUCAACCUCGGGUCGGCAGUGGAAACUGGAUAGCUAGAGGUCGGUAGGGGCAAAGGGAAUUCCCAGUGUAGCGGUGAAAUGCGUAGAGAUCGGGAAGAACAUCGGUGGCGAAAGCGCUCUACUGGACGGCAACUGACACUCAGGGACGAAAGCUAGGGGAGCG